CAGGAGUGAAGCAUCUGUGUGGUUUUCUGGAGAGUCCACGAUGUGUUCUUGAAACUCUGAGAUUGGUGAACUGUGGUUUGUCAGAGAUCAGCUGUGAUUAUCUGGCAGCAGCUCUGAAGUCCAACCCCUCCCAUCUGAGAGAGCUGGACCUGAGAGGAAACAACCUGCAGGAUCCAGAUGUGAAGCAGCUGUCUGAUCUUAAGGAGAGUCCACACUGCAGACUGGAGACACAGGUGUGGAGGUAAACAGGACGGUGUGUGUGCUGAGAGAGGAGGAGCUGUGUCCUGAUGAUCCAGAGAGCUUGAAGCAGCAGCAGCUUGUGUGCAGAGACGCUCUGACUGGGCCAUGUUACUGGGAGGUGGAGUGGAGAGGAGAGCUUCAUCCAGCAGUGACUGACAGAGGAAUGAGAAGAAGUGCAGAUGACUGUCAGUGCUGCAGAGUGAACUGCUCUGAGAACAGCUCCACUGUCAGACACAAUGUAGAGUCCACCAUCAUCCCUGUGUGUCCCUGUGGAUCUGCCAGAGGAUCAUCAGUGGAUGUGGAUGCUCUGCUGCUGCUCUGUCCUUCUACACAGUCUCUGCAGAGUCUCUGUCUGACACUGGCUUCAGCUUUUCAGGCUUCAUUCUGGAUCACACUCAGGAGAACAUCACCUGGAAAGGCCUCCAACAACAUCUCCAUCAUAGACACAAUGUUUUUAGGACUUACACAUCAGGUUUUGGUGCUUGGAGAUCAAAUAUGUGCCCAUCUAUAAGUUUCAGUGUUUUCCUUAAAGUAGUUUUUCAUAUAUUAGCAGAACAUUAAUAUUGAUACCAACCAUCUGUCUCACCUGCUUCAUUUAUAUCGUCCAUCAGGUCAGAAUUGUUCAGCACAUGAAAAAAGUGUGAAAAUCUGCACACUGGUAGAUUUCUGAUUUCUGCUU